ensembl:lncRNA
AAGUGGUAACAGUGACAUAAUGUUAGAAUGUUGUUAUUUUUAGGGUAGUGGAGAGCUUUUUAUGAGGAUGUUAAAAGUCUCGCUGACUCAAAUGAAUAAUAUUGGAGAUUAUAUAUGUAGAAAUGAUUUUUCAUACACAUUGCAUUUUGGGGCCUUUAACGGAGUUGUGGCUCAGAGAGUCGUCUCUUGAGGGUCAUAAACUUUUGGUUAACGUUAUGAUUAGCCAAUCUACUGUGAGAAUGACCUGAGUUUUGAAGGAUUGCACACGCUUACAGACAUACAGAGUUCAUCAACACACAGGACAGUAUUGAUUUGAGGCCUAGGGCCUGAAAUUCCUUUAGCUUUUAACUGAAUUUGAGUUGGCCCAAUAACAAAUGACAGAAAGAGGAACUGAAUAGGAGUUUUGCUUGUAACUAAACUGAGUGACAUAUAAAAUAUUGAGAUAACAGAUGCAGCUCUAACUUAGUCCUCUUAUAUAAAAAGCAGUUACAGAAUACAGAAAUACAGAAAACAGAAGCAAAGGGAGAAAGCUUAUAUAUGUUGGUUAAGUCUGAUAAAGUUUAAGUUAGAGGGAGGCAUUACAUUAAAAGCAGCAAAAUGAAAUAAAAUGAUAUAUUCAAACAGGAUGUUGAUGAUCAGAUAAGGAAAAACAGGAAACGUAUGACAGCAGUGCUGUAAGACUGUUAGAAAGCUGUAGAUUGAGAUGAGUGAUGUUUAAGAUUAUAUAGGAAUAAAAGUCAAAACCAAAUACAAAAUUAGGUUCAUGUUUUGAGUAACAUUAGGUUUGAAUAAAGAAGACAAUUGAGGGACAUAAGGCAGGGAAGCCGUACUAGGGAGGAAGGGUUCUGUUUCCUUUGCAGGUGGCCAGAUUUCCACUAGAGUGGGACCCAGAAAAGGGACAGACCACUAGAGAUUCACAAGUGUAAGGGUCUUUCACCGGGUAUGAGUGGGUUCUGGGGUGAGGGAGGAGUGCUGAUUGAGCUCUGCUCGCACUCUUAUUCUCUCAUGCCCUGAUCAACUUUAGGCUCGCUGAUACUUUGGUGUGAUUAACCUUAAGCAUGAGUGUUCUCAAGUGGGAGCUGGCAUUUUAUUAUUAAGACCACCUAGAUGACAUGAGGUUGUCUGAUUUGUUAAGUCACAGGAUGCCAAGAGAGGGUCAGAGCUAAGAACAGUGAUCCUAAAUGUCCAUGAUGUCUGGGAUGGACAGGGGAGCAGUUGAAUGGGCCAAGGAGUGACCCAACACACAGUAUGGUGACCUCUUGUGGUCAAGAGGUCAAGAGAGGGAGUGUCAGGAAUAGAAAUAUUGUCCUGCUAUUAGUUGCUGCUAUUUUAUAAUCAUCAUUAACAUUUCAUGUUAAUAGGGAUGUUGCAUUCAGAUGCACUCAGAUGUUCAAAAUAUAUUGGUAUUAUAUUAGUCUUUAUUACAGGUUCAGUUAUAAUCAGUUGAAUCUAUAAUUUAAAGGUUUCUGAAUGUUUUAUAUUCUUACACAUAGUCUUCAGUGGGGAGAAGCUGAUUGCAGGCUGACAGGAAACGGUGUGCUUUUGCAAAAGUGAAACCAAAACCAGAGUUUUGAUGAUGCUAUUAUCAUCUUUUAUGCAUUUAUACGUCUGAUUAAGCUUUGAUUAAGUUUUAAGUAGUUGUAGUAGAUUGAAAUAUUUGUUUUAUACAUUUUACAUAGAAGUUAAGAUCAUCACAACACAGGAUGG